rnacentral:rRNA from 1 species
ACGCUGGCGGCAGGCCUAACACAUGCAAGUCGAACGGUAACAGGAAACAGCUUGCUGUUUCGCUGACGAGUGGCGGACGGGUGAGUAAUGUCUGGGAAACUGCCCGAUGGAGGGGGAUAACUACUGGAAACGGUAGCUAAUACCGCAUAACGUCGCAAGACCAAAGAGGGGGACCUUCGGGCCUCUUGCCAUCGGAUGUGCCCAGAUGGGAUUAGCUAGUUGGUGAGGUAACGGCUCACCAAGGCGACGAUCCCUAGCUGGUCUGAGAGGAUGACCAGCCACACUGGAACUGAGACACGGUCCAGACUCCUACGGGAGGCAGCAGUGGGGAAUAUUGCACAAUGGGCGCAAGCCUGAUGCAGCCAUGCCGCGUGUAUGAAGAAGGCCUUCGGGUUGUAAAGUACUUUCAGCGGGGAGGAAGGGAGUAAAGUUAAUACCUUUGCUCAUUGACGUUACCCGCAGAAGAAGCACCGGCUAACUCCGUGCCAGCAGCC